UAGCCUGUAAGGAGUACAUAGUUUAUUAUUUCUCUACAAAUUCACAGGUCUUCAAUUAGAACUCAUUUCAAAAAUCAAGAUAUUCUAAAUUGUGUCUCCCCCUUUUUAAGAUUUAUUUAUUUAUUUGAAAGGCAGAGUUACAGAGAGGCAGAGACAGAGAGAAAGGGCUUCCAUCUGUUGGUUCACUCCCCAAAUGACCUCAAUAGCUGGAGCUGGGUGGAUCCUAAGCCAGGAGCUUCUUCCAGGUCUCCCACGCAGGUGUAGGGGCCCAAGGACUUGGGCCAUCUUCCACUGUUUUCCCAGGCCAUAGCAGAGAGCUGGAUCAGAAGUGGAACAGCUGGGACUUGAACCGGUGCCUAUAUGGGAUGCCGGGGCUGCAGGCGGCAGCUUUACCUGAUACGUCACAUGCUGGCCCCCAUUUUCUUUAAAAACUUUUAUGUAUUUAUUUCUUUUGAUCUGACAGAGAGAGAGCUCUCUCAUCUGUUGAUUCACUCCUCUAGGCCCUGAAAUAGUCAGGGUUAGUAUUGGUAGAAGCUGGGAUCUGGGAACUUAAUCCAGGACCCAAACAGCUGCUGUCCCCCAGGGUGUGCACUAGCAGGUAGCUGGCAGCUGGAAUAGAGCCAGGGGCUCUAACCCAGGUCCUCCAAUGUGGCAUGCAAUUGUCCCAAGCAGUGUCCCAGUAACUGUGCCUUUUUAAAGAUUUACUUAUUGGGCCGGCACCAUGGCUCAAUAGGCUAAUCCUCCACCUGCGGCGCCGGCACCCCGGGUUCUAGUCCUGGAUGGGGCUCCAGAUUCUGUCCCGGUUGCUCCUCUUCCAGUCCAGCUCUCUGCUGUGGCCCGGGAAGGCAGUGAAGGAUGGCCCAAGUGCUUGGGCCCUGCACCCGUAUGGGAGGCCAGGAGGAAACAUCUGGCUCCUGGCUUCAGAUCAGCGCAGCGCGCUGGCCAUAGCGGCCAUUUGUGGGGGUGAACCAAUGGAAGGAAGUCCUUUCUCUCUGUCUCUCUCUCACUGUCCACUCUGCCUGUCCAAAAAAAAAAAAAAAAAGGCUUUAUUCAUUUGGAAGGCAGAGUUACAUACACACACACACACACACACACACAGAGGUCUUCCAUCUGUUGGUUCACUCCCCAGUUGACUACAGUGGUUGGAGCUGCACCGAUCCGAAGCCAGAAGCUUCUUCUGGAUCUCUCAUGUGGGUGCAGGGGCCCAAGGACUUGGGCCGUAUUCAACUGCUUUCCCAGGCCAUAGCAGAGAUCUGGAUUGGAAAAGGAGCAGCUGGGACUUGAACCGGCACCCAUAUGGGAUGCCUGCACUGCAGACAGUGGCUUUACCUGCUGCACCACAGUGCCGGCCCCAUCAAUAGCUAUGCCUUAACACUUGCCCCUCCUUUCUGUUUUGCCAGAGGAAGAACUCUGCCUGUAUGUGGAAGAGUGGCUGCUCUAAUGCUGAGCCUUGUGCAGAGGUGGGGCGGGACAGCACAGCCCCCAGCACUGAGAGUAAGAACAGUCCAGAACCCAGUCUCUGAUCCCUGCUGCAUUGCUGCAUGCUUUCUCCCAUCUGCCUGGUCUCCUUCAGUCUGAAACAGCUCCUCAGGCUUUCCUUGCCUUUGGUGACCUCCUACUUUGGAAGAGUGCAGGCUAACCAUUUUGCAGAAUGUUCUUCAUUUCAGUCACUGUAUUUUGGAUUCGGCACGGGAACUCUGUUAAGCUGGCUCCUGACACGUUGCUGUAAUUCUCUGAGCACUUCUUUACUGUCUGCAACAAUGAGGUAUCCAGGAUCAUUUUGUGCUUCCUCUGUCUUACGUGUGAAAGCAACCAUGUCCCCAGAAGUGGAGCAACUUUUCCAGUUCCUUUCAGUAGAGAAUACUACCCAGGGGCCAGUGUGUGGCGCAGCAGCUGAAUAGGGACGCUGGAAAGAAGACCUUUAUGAAGAGGAGGAAAGAGCGGAAACUCUUCAAAGUGGCAGAAAGGAAGCAGAAGACAGAAAAGCCCCUGAAACAACAAAGAGAGCAGGUGUUUCAGAGAAUCAACCAGUAACUUCUGGAAGGCAGCGACCUGGAGCUUUGGGAAGAGACAAGAACGUGAGAUCUGGCGUGAGGACGUGUGGAGGCCGGAGCUGGUUGGGAACGCUGUGACGCUAUAAAUUCAGCUGCGGAACAGGUGUCAUGCUGAGGGAAAGUGGAGGACCAUGCGGAAGCUCAGAGUGAUUUGCUCAGACAGUGAAGACCGAAUGUGUGUAAAGUUGAUGAAAGGACAGUGAAGUAGUUUGAAGACUACAUUUUAUUUGAAACUUGCUGGUUUUAAAAUUAAAUUCCCCAAAUGGCCUCAGCCAGGAGCUCCACAGCGCCCCCCUCAGGCGUUUCUCAACAUCUCCACAUGGAGUUUGGCUCCCAUGUGCUCAUCUCAGCAUCCCCUCCUUCCUGUGGAGGAGGCACAGGUGCAUGUAAGGGGGGGGGGGGUUAAAGUGCAGGGCUGCAAGACACAGAAAUUGUGGGAAAACCAUUCAGCUAAUUUCCCCCUACCUCCCUGCCUAUUCCCCUAUCAUGCUAUUUGGAACACUUAUUCUGUGGAAUGAAUUUCUACCUGAUUCUAGAAUUGAACAGCAAGUCAAUUAAAUGUGUGUGUAUGCGCGUGUGUGUGUUUGAAAAUCAGAGUGACCGGGUGAAGAGGACAGAGAGAGAGAGAGAUUUUCCAUCUGCUGCUGGUUUACACUCCAAAUGGCCACAAUGACUGUGGGCUGGGCUGGGCAGAAGCCAGGAGCCUAGAAUUCCUCUAGGUCUCCCACACUUGGGCCAUCCUCCACUGCUUUCCCAGGUGCAUUAGCAGGGAGCUGGAUUGCAAGUGGAGCAGCUGAGACUCGAACCGACAGCCAUAUGGGAUGCUGGCUCUGCAGAUGGCAGCUUAACCCUCUGUGCCACAGCGCUGGCCCCAGACGUUUGAUUUCCAAAGCUCAUGGAAACAGGAGUCUGUAACGUGCCUCAGGCACCCAGUCCAGAAUCCCCCAAGGAUCACAUCACUUUCUUAGAGUCAGGAUUUUGAACACUGCUAGUGUGGUCUUUGCCUCUCCCAGGAACUGGUCGAGUGAGGACUGGUGGUACCUGAAGUAGCUAAGAGCAGAGGCCCAAAUUAAGUGAGCAUGCGAGGAUCGCAAACAUUACUCUCCCGUCUGCUGGUUUAAUAGCAGUCACCCUAGAGCAACUGCCCCUGCUCUCACCUUCCUUCUCUGCGUGGGAAGGGUGUGCGCUGGGGGCUAGAAGAAUCCUUGUGGUGUCUGGAGGGUGGGCUCUGCCUUCAGGACCCCCUGGCUCCAUGCUCCCCACAGCCAUGCCAGGGGGACACUAUUGCCAGCAAGGGCUGCCUCCUCUCCUGCAGGCCUUUGCUGGGGCAGGCGCCAGCUUAGGGCCGGCCCAGGUGGGGAAGGGUGAAGGCAGAAGACAUGGGAGAGGCCCCAAGGUCGCCUAAUCCAAUCGCUGGAUGUCACACAGGACUGAGCAAGGCCAGAGGGCUCAGGAACUCCCCAAGGGCGCACAGUGGGGACCGUUCAGGGAUGUCCUGCAAGAAGGGAUCCUUCUCUCUCCUUCCAGGGGCUCAGACAUGCUGAUGGGCAAGGCCAGCCUCCACUCCCCAGUCCCUAAGCAGCCCCACUGCGAGCCA